UUAAAUUAUUCUUGGUGAAGUGUAUGCAAGAUCCAAAUCAUUAACAUUGUAUAAGAAUCAAAUGACAAGGAUUAAUUUUGAAAUGAGUUGGUUGAAGAGGUUUAUUACAAAUUUUUUUAUUUGGCACUUUCUUUGUAUUAUUUCAAGAAUUCACAAUCAUUUAGAUAUAAUACAGAAACAUGCCUGUAUUAAAAAUGGUGGUUGAAGACCAAGGAUUUCAACAAUUUGUUGUGUUAAUUUUACUAUGUUAAUUUAUUGAAUUAUUUUUAUUUCAAUUUUGAUAUACUUCCUGUAAAUCCCCUUUUCUGAUUUAAUUAUUAUCUCUUUAUUAUAGUAUGUAAUACAAUUAAGGGUUUGUAUUAUUGCUGAAUAACUUUUCCAUUGUUUACAAAAUAUUUCUGAUGCAGACACACACAUCACAGUUGACACAAGAUAUGCACCCAUUCUUUAAUAAAUUUUUCUACUUUUCACAUUUUAAGCGAGCACGAAAAGUAAUGACAGCAAGUUAGCAGAACAAAGAAGUGGGGAAGAAAUGCAUGGAUCAGAAUCUGAAGGUUUGACUUAGAAAGAUAAGUUCUGGUUUGAUUUCAUUCCUGUUGAUUAAUACAGGUUCAGUUUCCAAAUUUUAACAUUAUUCUUGGUUGAAGUGUUAUGCAAGUAUCCAAAUCAUUAACAUUGUAUAAGAAUCAAAUGACAAGGAUUAAUUUUGAAAUGAGUUGGUUGAAGAGGUUUAUUACAAACACAUUAUUAUGUCUAGAACAGGAAAGAGAAACAGCCAAACUAAAUUGUGGUCUUAAAAAAAAAAAAAAAACUACUGCAAAUUAGAAUUUUGUUUUAUAUAUUUUUUAUCAUACAUACACAUAUUAAAUUUCACGAGGGGAGAUAAAAAUGACAUAAAAAUAUAUAUAAAAUAACUGUAUUAAAAAAAUUCUUCAAAGACAUAUGGGCCACAUGUAAUAAUUUUCUAUGUUAAGAUGCUAGUAUGCAAAUAAUUUUUUUGUGCAUAUAUGCAGAAUAGGCUGUUAAUCAUGGUACAUGAAAGAGAUAGUUAGUACCACAGAUGCUAAAUAUUACAAAGCAAAAUAAUCAGUUUGUCUUCACUUCCUUCUCGCUUCAAAAUGGCGGGGUGAGGUUUCGCCCUCUAUUUCUAGUGCCCGUGGUUUUUCUGCGCUGGAGAGUUCAAAAGCAACAUGCUAAAAGGAUUAAAACUUGUUCAUUUCUUUUGCCCGGAAGUUUUAUUUCUCAUUUUACACACCAGAUGGCAAUACAGAAUUAUAUUUUAUGCAAUUAGAGAUAGUUAGUUUAUUUUAAACUAGAUGUCAGCACUAGUCAAACAUGUAUUUAUGCUAUGUGUUUUGUAAUUUUAUUGUUAGCUCAGUCACUUAGUUAGUCUCAUUGUGAAUGCACAUGGUUUCGGUUCUGUGAUAAAAUAUACUUAUAUUUUUAUUCUGUACACUAUGGAGUCAGAUAGUGAAUUGGAUUCUGAUUUUAGUAUAAAUGGAUCUGAAAGUGAUUCUGAAGUAACUGAUUUUUUAUGAAAGUUCGGUUAGUAAAUCUGAGAGCAGUGAUGAUGGAUCUGUACUGUUGCCUGGACGAGCAUGGACUAAAAUUGUGUCUACUUCAGCAGAUCAUGCACCCCGACGUUUUAAAUUUUGCAGAACACCAAAGCUCACCACAAUUGGAAGACAUGCUUUUAAAAUUUCAAAAAGACACUUAUGGAAUUGUAAAACUAACCGGAAAAAAAAAAAAAAAAAAAAAAAAAAAAAGUCUGAAAAAUUAGUAAAAAAGAGAAUUGCAAAAGGUGAAAAUGUUGCUUUUCGUCAAGGUAAAGUUCUUGCCAUGAAGUGGAAAGAUAAGAAAGAUGUUACCAUGCUAUCUACAGUUCACACAAAUGACACGGUAGAUGUACAGUAUCAUAACAAAAUUGUCAAGAAACCUACAAUUGUCACAGAUUACAAUAAAAAUAUGGGAGCAGUAGAUAUUGUAGACCAGUAUCUUGGAGAUUACUUUAUUGCUCGAAAAAGAGAAAAGAAAUAAGAAAAUAUUUUUUCAUUUGUUAGACCAAACUAUUUUGAACUCAUAUCUUAUUUACAAAAAACAGGGUGGAAAAAAAAUCCCAUUUGAUGUUUCGUUUAUCUUUAGUAGAUGAAGUUAUUGACACCAUUUCAAAAAGAGGCCGGCCAAGCUUAGAGGAUAAUCCAAACCGUUUGAUUGAAAGACAUUUUAUUAGACAGACGAAAAAUGGCAUCCAUCAAGAGAAUGCAAUGAAAACAACAAUAAGAGAUGUAGGAAGGAAACUCUACUACUCUCCAGAUUGUGACGUUGGCCUUUGCAUCUCAUUCUUUGAAAUUUAUCACACAAGAAAAAAUUACUAAGCUUUGUUUACACUAUGCAUAAGCUUAAUAAAAUUCUCUUUUAAUGUUUAAAACACAUAUUUUUGAAAUUUUCCUGGCUUACUGGAAAAUCAACAUUCAGUCAAAAUAAGCCUGAAUGUUGGCUUUUCCUAAAAAAUUAUAUUUUAAACAUUUCAAGCUAAAAAAAAAAAAAAAAAAAAAAAAAAAAAAAAUAAUAAUAAUAAUAAUCCAGAAAUUGAAAAUGAAUGCAUAUAUUGUACAUACACAUAUAUCUAUGCAAUUUUCUUCAAUUAACAAAAAUAGGAACUUUGAUGACUGUUUUCUUGAAAAAGAUCCAAUCGUUAAGGGGUAAAUAAAGACAUGCUGGAUGAGCAUAAAGUCCUUUUCCGAUUACAAAAACUCACCUUGUUGAAAUUAUAAUAAUUAGACAUUUUCCCAGAACUGGUAAUUACAUUAAUUGAAUUUAUAAAGCACUAUGUUAGUAAAUUUUAUUCUGUGCUUCCUCUGUAGUUCAGAGAAUGUCAAGUAAAUAUUCCAGUUCUUGUCA